rnacentral:rRNA from 1 species
GAUGAACGCUGGCGGCGUGCCUAAUACAUGCAAGUCGAGCGAACAGACGAGGAGCUUGCUCCUCUGACGUUAGCGGCGGACGGGUGAGUAACACGUGGAUAACCUACCUAUAAGACUGGGAUAACUUCGGGAAACCGGAGCUAAUACCGGAUAAUAUAUUGAACCGCAUGGUUCAAUAGUGAAAGACGGUUUUGCUGUCACUUAUAGAUGGAUCCGCGCUGCAUUAGCUAGUUGGUAAGGUAACGGCUUACCAAGGCAACGAUGCGUAGCCGACCUGAGAGGGUGAUCGGCCACACUGGAACUGAGACACGGUCCAGACUCCUACGGGAGGCAGCAGUAGGGAAUCUUCCGCAAUGGGCGAAAGCUUGACGGAGCAACGCCGCGUGAGUGAUGAAGGUCUUCGGAUCGUAAAACUCUGUUAUUAGGGAAGAACAUAUGUGUAAGUAACUAUGCACGUCUUGACGGUACCUAAUCAGAAAGCCACGGCUAACUACGUG